GACGUAGGGCGCGAGCGUUGUCCGGAUUUAUUGGCGUAAAGAGCUCGUAGGCGGUGUGUCGCGUCGGCCGUGAAAACCUGGGGCUCAACUCUGGCGUGCGGUCGAUACGGGCAUCACUUGAGUUCGGCAGGGGAGACUGGAAUUCCUGGUGUAGCGGUGAAAUGCGCAGAUAUCAGGAGGAACACCGGUGGCGAAGGCGGGUCUCUGGGCCGAUACUGACGCUGAGGAGCGAAAGCAUGGGUAGCGAAACAGG
rnacentral:rRNA from 1 species